GAUGAACGCUGGCGGCGUGCCUAAUACAUGCAAGUCGAGCGAACAGACGAGGAGCUUGCUCCUCUGACGUUAGCGGCGGACGGGUGAGUAACACGUGGAUAACCUACCUAUAAGACUGGGAUAACUUCGGGAAACCGGAGCUAAUACCGGAUAAUAUAUUGAACCGCAUGGUUCAAUAGUGAAAGACGGUUUUGCUGUCACUUAUAGAUGGAUCCGCGCCGCAUUAGCUAGUUGGUAAGGUAACGGCUUACCAAGGCAACGAUGCGUAGCCGACCUGAGAGGGUGAUCGGCCACACUGGAACGGAGACACGGUCCAGACUCCUACGAGAGGCAGCAGUAGGGAAUCGUCCGCAAUGGGCGAAAGCCUGACGGAGCAACGCCGCGUGAGUGAUGAAGGUCUUCGGAUCGUAAAACUCUGUUAUUAGGGAAGAACAAAUGUGUAAGUAACUAUGCACGUCUUGACGGUACCUAAUCAGAAAGCCACGGCUAACUACGUG
rnacentral:rRNA from 1 species